ensembl:rRNA 5S_rRNA 5S ribosomal RNA
GGCCACAGCCAUAUCACCCUGCAGCCCAAGACCAGUUGCUCGCUAAAGCUAGGCAGGAGCCACAGAACUGAGCCCGGUGAGUACCUGGAUGGGAGACCACAUGGGAAAACUAGGUUGCUGUUGGAG